GGCUCAGGAUGAACGCUGGCGGCGUGCUUAACACAUGCAAGUCGAACGGACGUUUUGGGAAACUGAAGCGUUAGUGGCAAACGGGUGCGUAACACGUGGGUGACCUACCCCGAAGUGGGGAACAACAGACCGAAAGGUUUGCUAAUACCGCAUGAGCUCAGCCUUUCACGGGUUGAGGAAAGCCGAAAGGCGCUUUGGGAGGGGCCCGCGGCCCAUCAGGUAGUUGGUGAGGUAAUGGCCCACCAAGCCGAUGACGGGUAGCUGGUCUGAGAGGACGAUCAGCCACACUGGCACUGAGAUACGGGCCAGACUCCUACGGGAGGCAGCAGUGAGGAAUAUUGCGCAAUGGGGGAAACCCUGACGCAGCGACGCCGCGUGGGCGACGAAGGCCUUCGGGUCGUAAAGCCCUUUUGGCAGGGACGAGUGAGGACGGUACCUGCCGAAUAAGUCUCGGCUAACUACGUGCCAGCAGCCGCGGUAAAACGUAGGAGGCGAGCGUUAUCCGGAUUCACUGGGCGUAAAGCGCGCGUAGGCGGUUGGGUAAGUCGGACGUGAAAGCCCCUGGCUCAACUGGGGGAGGCCGUUCGAUACUGCCCGGCUUGAGGGUGAGAGAGGGAAGUGGAAUUCCCGGUGUAGCGGUGGAAUGCGUAGAGAUCGGGAGGAACACCAGUGGCGAAAGCGGCUUCCUGGCUCACCCCUGACGCUGAGAGCGCGAAAGCGUGGGGAGCAAACGGGAUUAGAUACCCCGGUAGUCCACGCUCUAAACGAUGAGGGCUAGGUGUUGGUGGGAUUUCCCAUCUGUGCCGAAGCAAACGCGUUAAGCCCUCCGCCUGGGGACUACAACCGCAAGUUUAAAACUCAAAGG
rnacentral:rRNA from 1 species